rnacentral:rRNA from 1 species
GACGAACGCUGGCGGCGUGCUUAACACAUGCAAGUCGAACGGAAAGGCCCUGCUUUUGUGGGGUGCUCGAGUGGCGAACGGGUGAGUAACACGUGAGUAACCUGCCCUUGACUUUGGGAUAACUUCAGGAAACUGGGGCUAAUACCGGAUAGGAGCUCCUGCUGCAUGGUGGGGGUUGGAAAGUUUCGGCGGUUGGGGAUGGACUCGCGGCUUAUCAGCUUGUUGGUUGGGUAGUGGCUUACCCAGGCUUUGACGGGUAGCCGGCCUGAGAGGGUGACCGGCCACAUUGGGACUGAGAUACGGCCCAGACUCCUACGGGAGGCAGCAGUGGGGAAUAUUGCACAAUGGGCGGAAGCCUGAUGCAGCAACGCCGCGUGCGGGAUGACGGCCUUCGGGUUGUAAACCGCUUUCGCCUGUGACGAAGCGUGAGUGACGGUAAUGGGUAAAGAAGCACCGGCUAACUACGUG